GGCGGUUUGUCGCGUCUGCCGUGAAAGUCCGGGGCUUAACCCCGGAUCUGCGGUGGGUACGGGCAGACUAGAGUGCAGUAGGGGAGACUGGAAUUCCUGGUGUAGCGGUGAAAUGCGCAGAUAUCAGGAGGAACACCGAUGGCGAAGGCAGGUCUCUGGGCUGUUACUGACGCUGAGGAGCGAAAGCAUGGGGAGCGAACAGGAUUAGAUACCCUGGUAGUCCAUGCCGUAAACGUUGGGCACUAGGUGUGGGGGACAUUCCACGUUUUCCGCGCCGCAGCUAACGCAUUAAGUGCCCCGCCUGGGGAGUACGGCCGCAAGGCUAAAACUCAAAGGAAUUGACGGGGGCCCGCACAAGCGGCGGAGCAUGCGGAUUAAUUCGAUGCAACGCGAAGAACCUUACCAAGGCUUGACAUGUUCCCGACCGGGCCAGAGAUGGUCUUUCCCCUUUGGGGCGGGUUCACAGGUGGUGCAUGGUUGUCGUCAGCUCGUGUCGUGAGAUGUUGGGUUAAGUCCCGCAACGAGCGCAACCCUCGUUCCAUGUUGCCAGCGGGUUAUGCCGGGGACUCAUGGGAGACUGCCGGGGUCAACUCGGAGGAAGGUGGGGACGACGUCAAAUCAUCAUGCCCCUUAUGUCUUGGGCUUCACGCAUGCUACAAUGGCCGGUACAAUGGGUUGCGAUACUGUGAGGUGGAGCUAAUCCCAAAAAGCCGGUCUCAGUUCGGAUUGGGGUCUGCAACUCGACCCCAUGAAGUCGGAGU
rnacentral:rRNA from 1 species